CGCCGCCUCGAUCUCUGCUACCCCGCCGCUUCGAUCUCUGCUACCCCGCCGCUUCGACCCUCUCCGAACCCUCGCCGCUUCGAUCCUUGCUACUCCCGCCGGUGGAGGUGGAUGCGGCGCUAGGGCAACCCGUGGUGGUGAGCACGUAGGCGUUCCGGGAGGCGGCGAGGGCGGCAUGGCGCGCCGUGGACGGCGGCAGGUCGUCGGCAGUGGACGCCGUGGUCCCCAGAUGCUCCCCCUGCGAGGAGCUCCGCUACGACGGCACGGGUCAGUAUGGGUGUGGUGGUGCUAAAAGGUUCAGCUGAGACUCCAUUUCUCAUAGUCGAAGUAAAUUGCCAUAGAGAUGUUGGUUUCCAGAUAUAUGCCUGUUUCUUACCAUUCUUGGAAGCAUAUAAUGAGGCUCUUUGUUCAGCUAGCUUGGUUUACAGACCAGAUGCAAGCUACAAUAUCUCCUUUUUGUCACGCGGGGACGCGACAGAGAGCAGCGUGGCGGUGAAGAGGAACCACGGCACGCCGCCGUUCGACAGCUGCGCGAAGAUGCCGUUGCCCUUUGCCAGCUCGACAGCCACCGCCGACGUGAACCCCACCAUCGCUAGCCGCCUGUUGAUCCGCUCCGGCGCCGGCCCGCUGAAUGAAUUUGGUGCUCACCUGGAGCGCAACAUUGAAAAAUGCUCUAUCACCCUAUAAGCUCGGAGGUGGUGGGGGGAGGAAGCGAUUUCGAUCCAAUCGGAAAGAGUGAGAGCGAGAUCAUGCGAUUUUGUCAAAGCUUCAUGGACGAGCUGUAUAGGUAUCUGGGACUUGAUCAGUUAAUUAAAGAAUCAUACCAAUUCACUAGCUUUGUUCCAAAUAGGUCACUUACUCUUUGAAUCUGGAUUGUGCCCGCCGCUUUGAUCCCUACUACCCCCGCCUCUUCGAUAGUGUCUAUUACUCCUUUCGCCGCUUCGAUCAUGUCGGUUGCUCCCCUAAUGCCUGAAAAAAUGGGUUUGGUUCAUUCUCGCUCCUUCUUCCUUCGUCGUCUCGGUUUUGUUUUCCUGUUGCUUCGAUCCCCUCUAUCAGCCCCUCUGUCGCUUCGAUCCGGUCGAUUGGCCCCAGCAGGACGCUGAGAAAACUGACAUUGAUCAUUUAUGGGAGAUAGGACGCAAACCUUCAACAGGUGGAUUGUUUGUUUCUGAAGGAGACGCUGUUCUUCUUGCUCAUAUUGAUGGUACCUGUUCUUACUAUGACAUUACAAAUUGUGAGAUUAAGACUAAAUAUAAGCCGCCAGGUGGAGUGUCACCCAACUUAUGGGGUGAUUGUUGGCUAAUUCGUUCCCCUGGUGCAGAUGGAUGCUGUGGGAGAUAUGGGUUUGCAGCUUCAGCUGGAAGCAUUUUGAACUCCGAAUUUUGUUCAUGGGAUUUUUUAUCAAAGAGACGUUACAACAUUCCACAUUGAUUUAGAAACACCUAAUUCCUGUCCACAAUCAAAACUGUUACAACUUCUUUAUAUAACCGGUUAAAUAAACCCACUUGGGAAGGAUCGUUCCAAUAAAAUUGCCAAAGCGAUUGGGAAAGCUGCAGAUAAUGCUCGCCAAGCAAAAUCCAAAAAGAAGUUAUUUUAUAUUCCUACAAUAACUAAUCAUACUCAAGUUUGGUGGCUUCCUAAUGUGGUUGUGGCAAACGAGAAGGAAUAGAGGAUCUUGCUUCUGUACGCCCUAUAUGCAAGGUUUAUGAGAAUAUUCCAAUAAUUUAUUCAGUAUCAUGUAUUUAUUUGAUGCACAUAUUACAGUAUAUUGGUUCUCUUCUUCUUCUUCUUUUCUAUUUUAAAGAUCCAACUUUUUUCUUUUGGAAUAUAUGUUAUGUAAAUAGCAUAUGUUGAAGAUAGGAAACUA